UACAGAGGGUGCGAGCGUUAAUCGGAAUGACUGGGCGUAAAGGGCGCGUAGGCGGAUUGGUAAGAGAUAUGUGAAAGCCCUGGGCUUAACCUAGGAAGAGCAUGUUUAACUGCUGAUCUGGAGUAUGAGAGAGGGUAAUAGAAUUUCCGGUGUAGCGGUGAAAUGCGUAGAUAUCGGAAAGGAUGUCGGAGGCGAAGGCGGUUACCUGGCUCAAUACUGACGCUGAGGCGCGAAAGCGUGGGGAGCAAACAGG
rnacentral:rRNA from 1 species